GACGAACGCUGGCGGCGUGCCUAACACAUGCAAGUCGAGCGGGGGACAGUUGGAAGCUUGCUUUUGACUGUUUUAGCGGCGGACGGGUGAGUAACGCGUGAGCAACCUUUCCCAGACAGGGGAAUAACACACCGAAAGGUGUACUAAUACCGCAUAAGCGCACGGUAUCGCAUGAUACAGUGUAGAAAAACUCCGGUGGUAUAAGAUGGACCCGCGUCUGAUUAGCUUGUUGGUGAGGUAACGGCCCACCAAGGCGACGAUCAGUAGCCGGCCUGAGAGGGUGAACGGCCACAUUGGGACUGAGACACGGCCCAAACUCCUACGGGAGGCAGCAGUGGGGAAUAUUGCACAAUGGGGGAAACCCUGAUGCAGCGACGCCGCGUGAGUGAUGAAGUAUUUCGGUAUGUAAAACUCUAUCAGCAGGGAAGAUAAUGACGGUACCUGACUAAGAAGCACCGGCUAAAUACGUG
rnacentral:rRNA from 1 species